AACUGAGGCUCGCGUAAUGAACUAAGUAUAAGCGGCAAUUUUAAACGAAGUGGUGUCUAAACAGCACUGCGUACGGGAGCUUGUUUCCAUCCGGGAUGAAUAAAGACCAACGGGUUUAUCCUGGAAAAUAAGCAACUCAGAAACAUACAGGGAAACUAUGGAGAGAAUUCAAAGACCUCCUUGAAAUCCAGCCUUUAUAGAGAAAACCUACACAAGGGGCGAGAUGAGAGGCAGCUCUUCUGAAGAGGUGAAGAUGGACAGCAAUCAGCGGAGGUCAAAGAUGUCUGUACCAUACCUCUUCGACAUUGGGUGGAACUAUGGGAAAACUCUGGACAUAGCAGUCUUCUUCCACAGCGCAAUAAAAGGAAAAUCCUGUUAUGGACAAGCUAAAGCUAAAAAUGACAGUUUAAUGAAGACUUGACUGUUUUUGUCAUGGCAACUGAUGCUUAAUAAGAGUACUGCCGGUUCCCCAAGACAAUUUCCUGCAAAUGUGAAAGGAAUGUUGGGAAAUGCUGAGAAUAUCUUCACCUUGCCACAAGUUGCCUCAGGGACCAGUACCACAGUGGCUGCACAGUUUUGUUUUAUGGAUCCCACAUAUCUUUGACAAUGUGGAAACAGGAUUAUAAAAAUACUACGCAAUCUAAAGCACUAUGAAACUACAACAUUCAUCAUCGAAUGUGUGCACUUUGAAAGUUACAUUUCCAUUCUGUGUUCUGUAUUGGAAAUUGUUGCUGUGUUUUUAUUUUACUUUGAAGAUUUGUCUUUAUUUUUCUAAUAAAUGAUAUGUUGUAUAAAACA
rnacentral:lncRNA from 1 species